rnacentral:lncRNA from 1 species
GAAACUUUCCCACUCUCGCACCUCGUGGGAACACCCUUGCUGGUUCAUUCCUGCUUUGAUCAUCAGCCAAGCAUGUGGUGUUUAGCCAUAACACACAAGAAAGCAUUCUGAAACUAUAAGACUCUUAGAGCAGCCAGACAAGUUAGCUAGCUCUUAAGCUCUGCAAGCUUCAGAUUGGAAAUAAUUGUGAAGGAUCUAACUGUAACUAGUUUUCUUUAAACCCUGCACUAUUUGGAUUUGAGUUUAUUUGGCCAAGGCUGUGUGGAACAGACACAAUGAGCCUGGUAUUUAUCGGAGAGGCAGUACACUGUGUAUUGUUCAGUUUGGGGUUUGUUUUCCUUUGGCCAGCAAGCGGGAGCCUCCCAUUUUCCGAGCAGUAGUAACACCCCUGGAGGCUGGCCUUUGCUGUCAUGCCUUCCCACUCCACAGGCUCUGCAGACCCAGCCAGUGCAGCUGACCCCUUGCACCUGGGAAGCUAGCUGCCUUUCCCUUCUCGGACCACUGGCAUGCAUGUGCUUUGCACAGCCAGAGACUUGCAGCUUCCCUCUUUGCAGACUUUCUGACUUGUGUUUUCAGCUGAGAAUGCAGGCUGAUAAGUGCAGGACAAGCAGUAGAAGUGUCAAAAAGGAGCUGGUGAUCGAGUCCCCCCUGAAAUACAAGGAUGCAGCUCAGGGAGAAGUGGAAGCAGAGAGCCCCCGCCUGAUGCUGGAAAGUAAGAUAAAGAGGGCUAAUAUCAGAGAAGAGAAGCAAGGAUAUUUAAGCAAGGCCUCUUCCUAUGGCAGAUCUCUUUACCUGUAAUAUAGCUAGGCACAGCCAUGAGAAUUCAACAAGCAUCUGGACACACACCUUGUUUCUCAUUAAAUUUUGCAACCAUGGCCUUGAGAUCUGUCUGUUGAUGUGC